rnacentral:lncRNA from 1 species
CUAUUAGAAAAUUGGGUAGAAUGCAUGCAUAGAUUUCAAAAAUCUUUUCAAGAGCAGCAAAAAAUGAAUUAGGUUAAACCCUUUAACCCCAUAUGUAUUAGAUCUCAUCUAAUCCUACCAAAGUCCAAAAAUAAAGAUAUGCAUAUAAUCUAAAAAUUAAAAUAUGGAUGAGAUCAAAUCUCAAUACUUUUACGUGGAUAGAAAUUUAUAGCUAUCGAUGAUCUCAGAUU